rnacentral:other from 1 species
AUGGCUAUGAAUCAACACAUUGAUUUAUAAGCAUGGAAAUCCCCUGAGUGAAACAACGAAUUGCUGUGUGUAGUCUUUGCCCAUCACUGAUGGGCUUUUUUUUGC